GCUGGGAAUGGUGGCGCAUGCCUGUAAUCCCAGCAACUCAGGAGGCUGAGGCAGAAGGAUUGAAAGUAAGAGACCAGCCUCAG
rnacentral:sRNA from 1 species